UUUGUUUUGUUUCAAUAGGUCAUUACAUACGUUGGACUCGUGUUAAAAAUAAAUAAAGAGAGCCGCAAAGGAAUGGAAGCAUUCCCUUGCCAACUAUAUAGUGCACAGAGUUGGAAAGUGGAGGUCAGGGCUCUACGAACGUAGACGCCCUUAUCAAUCACUAAUGAUCCUUCCGCAGGUUCACCUACGGAAA
rnacentral:misc_RNA from 1 species